ACCGCCCGCUCCAUCCCGGGCGCUCUCCAGAUGACGUCACCGUUGAGCUUUGCAUUGUGGGACGGGAAGUUUUUGGCAAUCAUCUCCGGCUUUCUUAUGUGCGGAGGUCCGGCCGAGGAAACUACAACUCCCGGAAGUGCCUUUGAACACCCUUCCUGCAUUUGGGCAGUCCCUCAGCUUAUGAGUCUUGCCAAGAAGCAGAGACCCCUUCUACCUGAGAGUCCAGAGACUUGAUCUACCAGCUUCCCAACAUGUGGUCUGGACUCCAGCCAUCAGGGGUCACUCUGGCACUCUGAUGCAGCAGCCUUGCCUUCCUAGGACCUGUCCUUCUGAAACUGAGAAUAUGAAGAUCUACCUUCUCUUUCUGGAUGAACUCCUACUCAGCUCUCAAGACCCAUUUCAAAAGUUCCCUACACUGCAAAACCUUUGCCAGUUUCCACAGUGCGAAGCAAGUUGCUCUCUCUGCCGUGCCUCCAGCCUGGCCCUCAUCAUAUCGUGUAGUAAUUGUGUCUGUUUGUGGUCUAUCUUCUCAGCCGGAUUGGGAGUUUCUGGAGGUAUGGAAACUGCCUCACAUCCUUAGCUUAGCAGGUCUCCAAGUGUGGUCUGCAGACUGUUGGGGGUCCCCCAGACUCUUUCAUGGGGUCCUCGAGGUCAAAACUAUUUUCCUAAUAACUCUGGGACAUGUUUGUAUUUUUCAUCCUGUUGACAUUUGCACUGGUAGUGGGUAAACUGCUGGCAUCUUAGUACAAAUCCAAAAAGUAGCGCUGGUGUGUACAAGGAGUCAUCAUCUUCUCCACUAGCACACACCCUCGUUAAAACACACGCCAGUUUCACUUCUUAAGAACGUCCUUAAUGAGGCAGUAAAAUGAUUAACUUUAUGAAGUCUAGACCCUUGAGUACGUGUCUUUAUAAUAAUCUGUGUAAAAAAAGUGGGAAGUGCAUAUAAAGCACUUUGGCUGCAUCCGAAAGCACAGGGUUGAAGGCAACGUCAAGCAAAAGCACAUGUGUGAUUGUUUGAAUUGUGAGCUGAAUUACUCAUUGCUUUUUUCAUGAAAGAACAACUGACAAACCCUGGUUAUUGAGAUUUGGGCCUGUGGCGGAUGUUUUCCAAAAACAUGGACUAGGUGAGCCUGUCACUUUAAGGAAAGCAACUGGCAGUAUUUGUUGCCAAUGAUAAAAUUCAAGCUAAGUGAAAUCAGGUUUGGAAAACUAUCUGCUAUGGUGAGCUUGACAUCUUCCCAUGAAACAUCUCUGAUGAGAACUGUGGUGGUACUAAUGAUUUUGAAUUGCGGAUGCUGUCUAGGGAAAUCCAUCAAUAUUUGGAAGAUCUACAUGAGUCAGUGAGGCAAUCGUUUUCAAGUGAACAAUGAAUGUCAUAAUAUCAUGCAUGUGGAAAAGAUCCAUUCAAAGUGCAAGACAGACCGGUGGGUUUUAAUGUGACAGAGUAGAAAAGUUCAUUGACGGGGUUUACAGAUUUUGCUUUGCAGCCACACUUUACCACUUGUCAAGUUUUGGUGAAGUACCAGAGAAUAUGCAUGGUUAUCUGAGAAGGCUGUUAAAGUACUUCUUCCUUUUCCAACUACAUAUCUGUGCAAGGCAGAUUUUCUUUAUACAUUUUAACCAGAACAAGAUAUUGUACCACACUGAAUGCAGAAGCAGAUCCGAGAAUCCAGCUGUCUUGAUUAAGCCAGACAUUAAAGAGAUUUGUGAAU